rnacentral:rRNA from 1 species
UAGGGAAUCUUCGGCAAUGGGGGCAACCCUGACCGAGCAACGCCGCGUGAGUGAAGAAGGUUUUCGGAUCGUAAAGCUCUGUUGUAAGUCAAGAACGAGUGUGAGAGUGGAAAGUUCACACUGUGACGGUAGCUUACCAGAAAGGGACGGCUAACUACGUGCCAGCAGCCGCGGUAAUACGUAGGUCCCGAGCGUUGUCCGGAUUUAUUGGGCGUAAAGCGAGCGCAAGCGGUUUGAUAAGUCUGAAGUUAAAGGCUGUGGCUCAACCAUAGUUCGCUUUGGAAACUGUCAAACUUGAGUGCAGAAGGGGAGAGUGGAAUUCCAUGUGUAGCGGUGAAAUGCGUAGAUAUAUGGAGGAACACCGGUGGCGAAAGCGGCUCUCUGGUCUGUAACUGACGCUGAGGCUCGAAAGCGUGGGGAGCGAACAGGAUUAGAUACCCUGGUAGUCCACGCCGUAAACGAUGAGUGCUAGGUGUUGGAUCCUUUCCGGGAUUCAGUGCCGCAGCUAACGCAUUAAGCACUCCGCCUGGGGAGUACGACCGCAAGGUUG